rnacentral:piRNA from 4 species
CUCUGGACUCUGAAUCCAGCGAUCCG